UACGAAGGGUGCUAGCGUUGUUCGGAAUCACUGGGCGUAAAGCGCGCGUAGGCGGCUUUUCAAGUCAGGGGUGAAAUCCCACAGCUUAACUGUGGAACUGCCUUUGAAACUGUAAAGCUGGAGUGCAAGAGGGGAUAGCGGAAUUCCUAAUGUAGAGGUGAAAUUCGUAGAUAUUAGGAGGAACACCGGUGGCGAAGGCGGCUAUCUGGAUUGCAAUUGACGCUGAGGCGCGAAAGCAUGGGGAUCAAACAGG
rnacentral:rRNA from 1 species